AAAGAUAGAGGUGCAAGAGUUAAGAGUUCUUUUAUCAAUAGAUGCAACUAAAAAGAAGGAGGAACGAUUGCCGAAGGAAUAAUUAUUUGCAUGUGAUUAUUGCCUGGGGGUAUAGAGAAUAUCUAUAUCACUGUCACUUUGUAAUGAAGUGGUGUGCUAUUG
rnacentral:ncRNA from 1 species